rnacentral:rRNA from 1 species
GACGAACGCUGGCGGCGUGCUUAACACAUGCAAGUCGAACGGAAAGGCCCUGCUUUUGUGGGGUGCUCGAGUGGCGAACGGGUGAGUAACACGUGAGUAACCUGCCCUUGACUUUGGGAUAACUUCAGGAAACUGGGGAUAAUACCGGAUAGGAGCUCCUGCUGCAUGGUGGGGGUUGGAAAGUUUCGGCGGUUGGGGCUGGACUCGCGGCUUAUCAGCUUGUUGGUGGGGUAGUGGCUGACCAAGGCUUUGACGGGUAGCCGGCCUGGGAGGGUGACCGGCCACAUUGGGACUGAGAUACGGCCCAGACGCCUACGGGAGGCAGCAGUGGGGAGUAUUGCACAAUGGGCGGAAGCCUGAUGCAGCAACGCCGCGUGCGGGAUGACGGCCUUCGGGUUGUAAACCGCUUUCGCCUGUGACGAAGCGGGAGUGACGGUAAUGGGUAAAGAAGCACCGGCUAACUACGUG